rnacentral:rRNA from 1 species
GUUCGGAUUGUAGUCUGCAACUCGACUACAUGAAGCUGGAAUCGCUAGUAAUCGCGAAUCAGAAUGUCGCGGUGAAUACGUUCCCGGGUCUUGUACACACCGCCCGUCACACCAUGGGAGUCAGUAACGCCCGAAGCCGGUGACCUAACCGAAAGGGAGGAGCCGCCGAAGGUGGGACCGAUAACUGGGGUGAAGUCGUAACAAGGUAUC